AUGGGCUGCGACGGGCCGGCGAUCGGCGUCGACCUCGGGACGACCUACUCGUGCGUGGCCGUGUGGCGGCCGUCCCACAACCGCGUCGAGGUUGUCCCCAACGACCAGGGGAACCUCACCACGCCGUCGUGCGUCGCCUUCACCGACGCCUGGCGGCUCGUCGGCGACGCCGCAAGGAACCCCGUCAACACCGUAUUCGAUGCGAAGCGACUGAUUGGCCGGCGAUUCAACGACCCGUCUGUGCAAGGAGAUAUCAAGCUAUGGCCUUUCAAAGUCAUUCCAGGCCCUGCUGACCGACCGAUGAUGGUGGUUCAGUACGGGGGUGAGGAGAGGCAUUUCACGGCAGAAGAGAUCUCCUCCAUGAUACUCGUUAAGAUGAAGGAGACUGCCGAGGCCUACCUCGGCACGUCGGUAAAGAACGUCGUCAUCACUGUCCCGGUUUACUUCAACGACUCCCAGCGCCAGGCCACCAUUGACGCCGGUGCGAUUGCUGGCCUCAACGUCAUGCGCAUCAUCAACGAGCCCUCCGCAGCAGCCAUAGCCUACGGCCUUGACAAGAUGUCCGGCAGCGGUGAAGCGAAGACGGUACUCAUCUUUGAUCUUGGUGGUGGUACCAUGGAUGUCUCCAUUGUCAGUGUACAAAAUGAUGUCUUCACAGUCAAGGCCACGUCUGGUGACACCCACCUGGGCGGGCAGGAUCUCAACAACCGGAUGGAGCUCAACAUGGACCUCUUCCACAAGUGCAUCGAGCACGUCGAGAAAUGCCUCGGCGAUGCCAAGAUGGACAAGUCUGGGAUCCAUGACGUCGUGCUCGUGGGCGGCUCCACCCGGAUCCCCAAGGUGCAGCAGCUGCUCCAGGAUUUCUUUGAUGGGAAGACGCUCUGCAAGAGCAUCAACCCCGAUGAGGCCGUCGCCUACGGUGCUGCCGUCCAGGCUGCCGUCCUCAGCGGCGAGUGCGACCGCAAGGGGCAGGACUUCCUCCUGCUGGACGUCACUCCACUCUCGCUCGGGGUCGAGAUAUAUGACUCUUUCAUGAGCGUGCUGGUUCCCCGGAACACCACCAUCCCUGUUAAGAGGGAGGGGCGGUACACGACUGAAUUCGACAACCAGAAGAGCGUGCGCAUCAAGGUGUAUGAGGGUGAAGGGGCAUGGACCAAGGACAACAGGCUUCUGGGAGAGUUCAUGCUCGAGGGCCUCGUCCCAGCGCCAAGGGGCGUGCCGAAGAUCAUUGAAACCAUGGAAGUCGAAGCGAACGGCAUCCUGAAGGUGACGGCGGUGGACGUGACGACCGGGAGCAAGAAGAGCAUCAACAUCACGACCAACAAGGGUGGGCUGAGCAAGGAGGAGAUUGAACGCAUGGUGAAGGACGCCGAGAAGUACAGGUCGGAGGACAGGAAGAGGAUAAUGAAAAUGAAGAGGGAAGACGAGGAGGGCUGGCUGAGCAAGGCGGAUUUUGAGAGGACAGUGCAGAAUAGCAAGAAGCAAGUGAAGAAAAUAAAGAUGGAAGACGAUGAGGGUUGGCUGAGCAAGGAGGAGUUUGAGCGGACGGUACAGCAUGCAAAGGAGCAGAGGAAGCAAAUAAAGGAGGAAGCCGGAGGCCCAUAA
rnacentral:rRNA from 1 species